UAUUUAUAGGAAAACAAAAGGACAAUAUAGUGUUGGAAUGAUAGUGGCCCUAUAUUGUCCUUCUGUGGAUAUUAUCUAGUUUUUAAUCAUUAAAUGAAAAAUUAAAUAAAUAAUUAUAUGGCUGGAUUGAUAGUGGCCCGCCCUCUAAGGUUUAGUGGGUGGAUGGUAAAAUAGUAUGAUCAAAAGGAUGGGAUUGAUGAAGGGGAAGAUCUAAUGGUGAAAAAUUAGAUAGCACUAAGUGUUUUAUUCUAUUAAUAGUAUCCUAAUAUUACAUAGGGAUCGGGGCGGGAGCUCCACCAACCCGGAUCCAUUUGCAUUCCUAAGUGUAACUGACUUAUUGCGAUAUAUGGAAUACAAUAUUACGUAGGGAAAGAAACAAGAAUAUUUUUUCAACAUACUUUCUUACCGUACGUAAGGUAAUCUUCUUGCAAUCCCAAACGGAGCCUAAGUAAAUAAUAAUAAAAGAAAAGAUUGGGAAAUUUGAAUCCCCAAGACAUUAAAUACUCUAGAAAGUAUACCUUACGAAGAAUGAAACCUCUGUGGUUCCCCAAAAAAGGAAAAAAAAGGGGCUAAAUUACAUAAAACUCCCUAUCAAUACCUACUUUUUCACUUUUUUUUCUGUCAUUUAAAAACUUACACUUUGCUCCCUUGUAAAAUAAAAAAUAUUUUCAAGGGAUACGGUGUUAACUAUAAUGACAAAAUGACCAAUUUGCCCCUCAACAGGCUGCAAUGUUGAGGAAGAGACUGAGGAUAUUUUUGAUAUAAAAAAAUAUAUAAUAAUAUUUUAUAAACGGAACCCUAACGGAGCAUUAACGGUAGGAAGUGAAGUGGACAUUUUUUAUUUUAUAAGAGGGCAAAGUGUAGGUUUCUAAAUAAUAGAAAAAUAUAGUGAAAAAAGGGAUAUUGAUAGGAGGGUUGUUUGUAAUUUAGCCCCAAAAAAAAAUUUAAUAAUUGGGUUAUAUUAUUACAUGAAUUUGAAU
rnacentral:lncRNA from 1 species